AUUUCAAUGACAUAAAUCAGAACAUUCUCAUGCAGUAUAUUUUUCGUCUCAGCAAACACACAUACCCAAACAUAUACACAACAUCCAUACAUUUUAAGAUCUUUGUCAAAGCCCAUACAGAAUAUCUAAAGGUCCUGUGGGUCCAUUAUAAGUUGUUGUUCAAAUUUAUUCUUUAAACUAGUCCCUGAACCUCUCAAUAAUCUCUUUUGAGAACGCUUUUACCAUUUUGUCUCUUAUAGGGAGGUCACUCUAAGUGCCUUUUAAUGUGUGCUGAAGAAAGGGCAGCACAGCUGAAGCCUGAUUUAAAAUCUGAUCUUCUCCCUAAUGUCACAAGGACAUCCUGAGACAAUGGCUGAAGAGCUAUGCACCAGUACCCAGCUGGAUCCCUGAUACUUACAUUGGCAGAUGCAUUAUCAACACAGACAUUGAUUUAGAGUGAAUUAAAGGAAUUACAAAGAUCAAGAUGAAUUCAGUGAAGCUUCCCAUAGGACUGUUCAAAGAUCUCCAGAAAUCCCAGGACCAAAAUAAUGAGAUACGCGAUUAUGGUGGCUGGCAUGUCUCAAGAUCUGCAAUCAGCUGGAGACCCAGGAGACUUGAUGGUGUAGUUCCAGUCUGA
rnacentral:lncRNA from 1 species